rnacentral:lncRNA from 1 species
GGUGGAUGGUGUGAGUUAUAUAUAUUUUUAGGUAGUUGUUUCCAUUAGGAAUGUAUUAUGUGUUUUCUUUUUCUUGAUCUACUAAUGUUUGAUUUUUUAUGAUGUUUUGUACAGAAUUUGUUUUACCACCACGGCGUUUCUUCUUCUAACAGGGUGAACAACCGAAUAAGGGGUGCAUAUUGAAAGAAAAGUAAAUCUCUUAAUUUUAUGUAAUUAUAAUUAUAAACACAUGGUUAAAAGAUUUACUUAUAAUUUAUACACUUAUAAGGAAAUGCUUGCACCA